CAGUGUCCCUGGUGGGCUGUGAUGCUCUAGCCAAAUAGUCCAGCCCUUCCUCACCCAGCCUCAUCCCUGGCUGGAACAUCACUGGUUUGGAUCUUCCUACAGAGAAGGAAGGACUGGGAUCUUUAAGCAGGGACACUCUGGCAGGGAGACACCUGAACAGCUUGGGAGGAGGAGCCCACCCCUUUUGAGAGUGGCUGAUGUCCCCUAUGGGCAGUCAGGUCUGUCACAACAGCUCCUGGUUCCCCAGCCCACAGAGAGCACAAGACAACUCGGCAAUCACAUGACAUGGAGUCAGAGACCAGGCUUGACAGCUUAUCCCCUCACCCAGCCUCUUCUAGUCUCAUCCCACCAGCCAGGACAGAAAAUUAAAAGGGGAAGGAAGAUUCGGAGAGGGGCAGAAAAAGAGAGACACCUGUAGCACUGCUCCUAAACCUCCCCCCCCUCAGCCACCAGGUUCUAGAUGCUACCAUGAUGCCAACCAGACUUCCCUGGGCAGACAACCCCACCAAUGUGUCCUGGAGCCCAGCCUCCCCAGAUCCCUAUCCCACUACAGAAAGAGAGAGGCCGGGAGUAUGGAUAGACCUGUCAACACCUAUGUUCAACAGGGAAGCAAUUACAGAAGCCAAACCUUCCACCUUCUGCACCCCAUAAUGAUGCUGGAUCCAUAUUCCCAGAGGGAUAAAGAAUAGGAAAGCUACCAGGGGAGAGAAUGGGAUUUGGAGUUCUGCUGGUGGGAA